GACGAACGCUGGCGGCGUGCUUAACACAUGCAAGUCGAACGGAAAGGCCUCUUUCGGGGGGUACUCGAGUGGCGAACGGGUGAGUAACACGUGAGUAACCUGCCCUUGACUUUGGGAUAACUUCAGGCAACUGGGGCUAAUACCGGAUAGGAGCUCCUGCUGCAUGGUGGGGGUUGGAGAGUUUCGGCGGUUGGGGAUGGACUCGCGGCGUAUCGGCUUGUUGGUGGGGUAGUGGCUUACCAAGGCUUUGACGGGUAGCCGGCCUGAGAGGGUGACCGGCCACAGUGGGACCGAGAUACGGCGCAGACUCCGACGGGAGGCAGCAGUGGGGAAUAUUGCACAAGGGGUGGAGGCCUGAGGCAGCAGGGCCGUGUGCGGGAGGACGGCCUUCGGGUUGUAGAACGCGUUCGCUCAUGACUAAGCGUUGUGUGACGGUAGUGGGUAAAGAAGCACCGGCUAACUACGUG
rnacentral:rRNA from 1 species